rnacentral:tRNA from 1 species
ACAUAGAUGGCUGAGUGGUCUAAGGCUCCUGAUUGAAACUCAGGCGUACGGGAAACUGUACCGAGAGUUCGAAUCUCUCUCUAUCCG